rnacentral:lncRNA from 1 species
AACUCCUCUUCUUGCUGCCAAUAUCCAUCUUGUUGGAAUUGUUGAGGUUCUCCCCACAUGUAAUCUGAACAAUCUCUCAAAUCUGAAUUGUAAGCGUUGGAAAACAUGUUGUCCCGUGAUUGGUUAUGGCCUUUAUAACCCCAAGCAUCUUCAUUUGCAGUGAAAUGAGAACAUUGAUGAGUUGGAUAUCCUUGCCCAUAGGACACACCACAUGUAGGGAUACUUUGCAUUGUGGUCCUUUCGGCUUAUUGUGACAAUUGAGAAGUAAGUUUCGCCAAGUGAGCUUGACUGGUAGCAAAAUCCUUGUCUUACUUAUCUAGUACCUAAACUCAAGGAAACAAAACUAAAUCAAAUAUCAAAAGUAAAAAUAAAAGACAUAAACAAAAACAAAGUCAGUAACUAAAACAAAAGACAUGUAAAAGAAACAACGGGGGAUAAGCAAAGUUGCUAAUCACUGGCAACGGCGCCAAAAAUUUGAUGCGAAGAUUAACUUAACACACAAAUUUAACCCUCUUUUGACAAUUGUAGUAUAAGUAUAAGUAUGGAUCGUUCUGAACCGGGGAUUAGGGGAGCUUGCUAAUAACCUCUAAACUGACUUAAAAUUUUAUAAACAAAGUUAAAAACACUAAACUAGACUCAAAGAAUUCAAAACAAACUCAAAGAACUCAAAACAAGCUAAAAACACUCAAAUCUGCCUAAAAACACAAACUGGGCAGAUUUGGACUCUAAACACACUUUUGGACGAAUUUGUUGCUUAAUAUCUCACUUGUGCUACUUUUCUUUUCUUUGCUUGAUAAAUCACACAAAACACAAAAACAUAGUAAAUAGCUUAAAAAUAUAAGGAACUAAGAAAAGACAAGUGAAUUUUAUGUAAAAUAUAUAUAAAUAUGAGCUUAUCAAAUACCCCCAUACUUAGCUUUUGCUAGUCCUCGAUCAAAAUAAAGAAAACAAAACACAACCUAAACCUUCCAACGUUUGCCUCAGGGAUUUCCAACGUACAUGACAAGUUAAAAAUCAUCAUUCCCACAGAUUUUAGUCAACUUAACACUUGAGCACAUACUUAAUCACAGUCACCACUUACUGGUUCAUAUUUAACCAAUUAAAACGAUGUUUUGAAUGUAGUAACAUGCCUUAGAAUUUGCUCAAUUCCUUACAAGAUAUGCACUCAAUUGUCACUCAGAUUUUCUGACUACACACCCUACACUAGGUACAUGUGAGAAGAUUGAUGUAAACAUGAAAACUAGUA